rnacentral:lncRNA from 1 species
GGGAGGAUAUCCGCGGCGGCUAUCGGCAGCGUCGCCCGCACUGGCAGGGCAGCCCCGGUGGGGUCCUCCGCCUUCCCGUUCCUCCGGAGCUCAUUCGUCUCGUCCUCCUCCACGUCGUCCGCCUCCGCCUCCCCCGCCUCGCUCUCGGCGGCGGUCUCAGCGUCGCUGGCCUUCACGUCCUCUUCCUCGUUCGCCGGUGAGAUAGGAUUCCGUCUUUCUUUUCUUCUCUGUGUUCGUAUGCUAGCGUUCGCGCGGGCCAUUUGUUUUUGGCCUUUGGGGAAUUAGUGGGUUCUGCUUACACGCUCACACGGGGAAAUGUCAUUGAAAUUAUGACUUCGUGCACUGUGCGUUGGCACUAGUUUUGCAUAAUAGGAUGCUUCGUACGAGUUUUAAUACAGACUUCAGUAAAUGGUACCAGAAAGGCAGAAAUGUAUCAUAUGCAUGAGGUGGAGCUUGUAUAGUUUAUCGCUCUAGUCCAAUGUAGGGAACAGAAGAAAAAUUGGGGACUUAUGUUGGUUUAACCUGUGGAAACAGAAUUGUAAGGUGCCCUGGUUAGUUGUCUGAAAAUAUUGAAAUUUGUCUGGCUGGUAUUAUGAAAAUCUGAAAUUCAGUUAUUGUUGAACCUGUUGGUUGAUACGGAUGGUUCUGUGAAAUCUGAAAUUUUGUAUCAUGGAGUCUGAGCAUUCCUGUAGGCUGUAAUUGAUCAUGGAUCAACAAAUUUUUAUUUAAUAAUCUGAAUAAGAGACAAAGUUAAUUUGUAGAGUACUUGUAGAGCCAGUUGUGUGUUAGUGUCCAGACUCCAAACAUGAAACUGACCGUGCUCAUAUUUGAUCGUUUCAGUGAUCUUUUUUUUUUUGAGUUAUGAGAAGGAGCAAAUAUAAAACUCUAUAUUUGUUGUCAUCCCCAUGUACCAUCUGAUGGAUUCUAGACCGUAUGCAUCUGAAUUUUUUCCUGAAUCAUGUGGACAUCGCAAACUCUUACAAACUAGCUACAUAGAGUUGCCCUUUUUUCUGUCCUGAAUCAUCUAGAUGUCGUAAAAUGUUACAAAACAGCUACAUAGAAUUCGCCUCUUUGUUUUCUGCCCUGAACCAUCUAGAUGUUGCUACAUGUUACAGACCAUUGGAUUGACAUUUUCUUUUGAUCGGAAUGGAAUCCAAUCCUGCUCUUUUAUGCUGCUGUUCCCCAGCCAAAACCGCGUUGCCACCGAACGACCUGCUCAGAUCAGCGACGGCGAGGCAGAGGAGGCACUUGGCGACACGAAGCAGCAGCUCAUCGCCCUCGGAGACGAGCACGGACGAUUCCCAGUCCCCGAAACAAGAGAAGG